rnacentral:rRNA from 1 species
UCGAGAAUUUUUCACAAUGGGCGCAAGCCUGAUGGAGCGACGCCGCGUGGGGGAUGAAGGGCUUCGGCUCGUAAACCCCUGUCAGUCGCGAACAAGGUGUAUCGGUGAACAUCCGGUGCAUUGAUAGUAGCGACAGAGGAAGGGACGGCUAACUCUGUGCCAGCAGCCGCGGUAAUACAGAGGUCCCGAGCGUUGUUCGGAUUCACUGGGCGUAAAGGGUGCGUAGGCGGCUUGGCAAGUCUGAUGUGAAAUCUCCGGGCUCAACCCGGAAAUGGCAUUAGAAACUGCUGAGCUGGAGGCUUGGAGGGGGAACUGGAAUACUUGGUGUAGCAGUGAAAUGCGUAGAUAUCAAGUGGAACACCGGUGGCGAAGGCGAGUUCCUGGACAAGACCUGACGCUGAGGCACGAAAGCCGGGGGAGCAAACAGG